GUGGGGAAUUUUGGACAAUGGGGGCAACCCUGAUCCAGCCAUUCCGCGUGAGUGAAGAAGGCCUUCGGGUUGUAAAGCUCUUUCGGCAGGAACGAAACGGUGAGCUCUAACAUAGCUCGCUAAUGACGGUACCUGAAGAAGAAGCACCGGCUAACUACGUGCCAGCAGCCGCGGUAAUACGUAGGGUGCGAGCGUUAAUCGGAAUUACUGGGCGUAAAGCGUGCGCAGGCGGUUGUGUAAAACAGGUGUGAAAUCCCCGGGCUUAACCUGGGAACUGCGCUUGUGACUGCACGGCUAGAGUAUGGCAGAGGGGGGUGGAAUUCCACGUGUAGCAGUGAAAUGCGUAGAGAUGUGGAGGAACACCGAUGGCGAAGGCAGCCCCCUGGGCCAAUACUGACGCUCAUGCACGAAAGCGUGGGGAGCAAACAGGAUUAGAAACCCCUGUAGUCC
rnacentral:rRNA from 1 species